rnacentral:rRNA from 1 species
CAACGUGGGGAACCUGCCCCAUAGUCUGGGAUACCACUUGGAAACAGGUGCUAAUACCGGAUAAGAAAGCAGAUCGCAUGAUCAGCUUUUAAAAGGCGGCGUAAGCUGUCGCUAUGGGAUGGCCCCGCGGUGCAUUAGUUAGUUGGUAAGGUAAAGGCUUACCAAGGCGAUGAUGCAUAGCCGAGUUGAGAGACUGAUCGGCCACAUUGGGACUGAGACACGGCCCAAACUCCUACGGGAGGCAGCAGC